rnacentral:rRNA from 1 species
UCGAGCGGAUGAGAGGAGCUUGCUCUUCGAUUCAGCGGCGGACGGGUGAGUAAUGCCUAGGAAUCUGCCUAGUAGUGGGGGACAACGUUUCGAAAGGAACGCUAAUACCGCAUACGUCCUACGGGAGAAAGUGGGGGAUCUUCGGACCUCACGCUAUUAGAUGAGCCUAGGUCGGAUUAGCUAGUUGGUAGGGUAAAGGCCUACCAAGGCGACGAUCCGUAACUGGUCUGAGAGGAUGAUCAGUCACACUGGAACUGAGACACGGUCCAGACUCCUACGGGAGGCAGCAGUGGGGAAUAUUGGACAAUGGGCGAAAGCCUGAUCCAGCCAUGCCGCGUGUGUGAAGAAGGCCUUCGGGUCGUAAAGCACUUUAAGUUGGGAGGAAGGGCUUACAGCGAAUACCUGUGAGUUUUGACGUUACCGACAGAAUAAGCACCGGCUAACUUCGUGCCAGCAGCCGCGGUAAUACGAAGGGUGCAAGCGUUAAUCGGAAUUACUGGGCGUAAAGCGCGCGUAGGUGGCUUGAUA